UAGGGAAUCUUCGGCAAUGGACGAAAGUCUGACCGAGCAACGCCGCGUGAGUGAAGAAGGUUUUCGGAUCGUAAAACUCUGUUGUUAGAGAAGAACAAGGACGUUAGUAACUGAACGUCCCCUGACGGUAUCUAACCAGAAAGCCACGGCUAACUACGUGCCAGCAGCCGCGGUAAUACGUAGGUGGCAAGCGUUGUCCGGAUUUAUUGGGCGUAAAGCGAGCGCAGGCGGUUUCUUAAGUCUGAUGUGAAAGCCCCCGGCUCAACCGGGGAGUGUCAUUGGAAACUGGGAGACUUGAGUGCAGAAGAGGAGAGUGGAAUUCCAUGUGUGGCGGUGAAAUGCGUAGAUAUAUGGAGGAACACCAGUGGCGAAGGCUGCUCUCUGGUCUGUAACUGACGCUGAGGCUCGAAAGCGUGGGGAGCAAACAGG
rnacentral:rRNA from 1 species